rnacentral:rRNA from 20 species
CGUAGUGACCUGCGGAGGAUCAUUA